rnacentral:rRNA from 1 species
GGGCCACGGGGGGCUUACGGGAGGCCAGCAGUGGGGAAUUUUCCGCAAUGGGCGAAAGCCUGACGGAGCAACGCCGCGUGAGGGAUGAAGGCCUCUGGGCUGUAAACCUCUUUUAUCAAGGAAGAAGAUCUGACGGUACUUGAUGAAUAAGCCACGGCUAAUUCCGUGCCAGCAGCCGCGGUAAUACGGGAGUGGCAAGCGUUAUCCGGAAUUAUUGGGCGUAAAGCGUCCGCAGGCGGCCCUUCAAGUCUGCUGUUAAAAAGUGGAGCUUAACUCCAUCAUGGCAGUGGAAACUGUUGGGCUUGAGUGUGGUAGGGGCAGAGGGAAUUCCCGGUGUAGCGGUGAAAUGCGUAGAUAUCGGGAAGAACACCAGUGGCGAAGGCGCUCUGCUGGGCCAUCACUGACGCUCAUGGACGAAAGCCAGGGGAGCGAAAGGGAUUAGAUACCCCUGUAGUCCUGGCCGUAAACGAUGAACACUAGGUGUCGGGGGAAUCGACCCCCUCGGUGUCGUAGCCAACGCGUUAAGUGUUCCGCCUGGGG